rnacentral:RNase_P_RNA from 1 species
UCGCGUGCAAACGAGGAAAGUCCGAGCUGCGUUAAGACGAUGGUUGCGUCUAACGGACGCCAGAAGUGAUUCUAGGGAAAGUGCAACAGAGAGCAGUCAGCCAGUUUUGGUCAAGGUGAAACGGCGGGGUAAGAGCCCACCAGCGCGUAUGGAGACAACGCGGCUAUGCAAACCCAACCAGCAGCAAGAAAGGGUGGUUUAAGUCUUAAAAUAAACCUUUCGCUUGAUUUUGUCGGCAACGACAAAACUAGACAAAUGACCGCACAAACAGAACUCGGCUUACAGUCGCACUCC